UAAGUGUGUUUUUAAUCAUAGUUUAUAGUUAUAGUUUAUUUCAUUUAUAAACCACUUUAAAAGCAAACAGGUUUGCACCAAAGUGCUUCACAAAGACAAAAACAUAUGUAAACAAGCAU